rnacentral:rRNA from 1 species
UGGGGAAUCUUGCGCAAUGGACGAAAGUCUGACGCAGCCACGCCGCGUGAGUGAAGAAGGCCUUCGGGUUGUAAAGCUCUGUCGGGCGGGACGAACAUCUUUUGGGUUAACAGCCCAGAGGACUGACGGUACCGCCAAAGGAAGCACCGGCUAACUCUGUGCCAGCAGCCGCGGUAAUACAGAGGGUGCAAGCGUUGCUCGGAAUCAUUGGGCGUAAAGGGUAGGUAGGUGGUCUCAUUUGUCUGGGGUGAAAGCCUUGAGCUUAACUCAAGAAGUGCCCCGAACGUGAGACUGGAGUCUUGGAGAGGGUCGUGGAAUUCCCGGUGUAGCGGUGAAAUGCGUAGAGAUCGGGAGGAACACCAGAGGCGAAGGCGGCGACCUGGACAAGCACUGACACUCAACUACG